rnacentral:rRNA from 1 species
UACGUAGGGUGCAAGCGUUAAUCGGAAUCACUGGGCGUAAAGCGUGCGCAGGCGGUUAUGUAAGACAGGUGUGAAAUCCCCGGGCUUAACCUGGGAACUGCAUUUGUGACUGCAUAGCUAGAGUACGGCAGAGGGGGAUGGAAUUCCGCGUGUAGCGGUGAAAUGCGUAGAUAUCGGGAGGAACACCUGUGGCGAAGGCGGCCCCCUGGUUGGAUACUGACGCUGAGACGCGAAAGCGUGGGGAGCAAACAGG